GGCCUGAUAGCUCAACUGGUGGAGCACUUCACCGGCAUUUAAGAGGUCCGGGUUCGAGUCUCGUUCAGGCCU
rnacentral:tRNA from 1 species